rnacentral:lncRNA from 1 species
AUAGCAACAGCAGCGUAGCUGAACAUCUUACGGAUGGCCCAGGGCUCCAAAGGCUCGUUUCCUAAGUGAGAGAGAGCCUGGCUGAAGCUGUAUUACCAUUCAUUCUCCAGCCUCCGAAGUCUCAAAGCAUCACUUCCACCAUACUCUAACUGUCAAGACAAACACAAAGGCCCAGAAAGAAGAAUACACUAUCGAUGUUCCUUUUAAACAAGUAUUUGAGUAAAAGCGAUGUUUCCAAUGUGUGUCAGAAAGUGAAUACUUGUAUAUUUCCGCACGGUUAGAGCUGAGCUUUCCGAGCAAAUUUUACUGGGACCCGGUUGAAAGACAGGUCUUGGAAGUGAAAUGAUGACUGACUAGAUGAAACUGCCAGACUGUCUUCUGAAGUGGCUAUAAUAUUUACACUCCCAUCAGCAGUGUAGAAGGGGUCUCACUAUGUUGUCUGGAGUGCUGUGGUGGAGUGGAGUGGCUAUUCACAGAGCCUGUUCUGCUGGGACACAGAAUCACUUGCUCCAUCUCAUACAUUGAUGAUGAUUAAUUUGUAUGUGUACCUUCCAAAAAAGAUGGUUGUGUUUGAAUGGAGGCCUUCUGGACAGGAAAAUAUGGAGAGUGCGUGCUUUGGAUUCAAGACUGGGAAUGAGGGGACCAGAAACCUAUUCUGUGGCUGUUUCUUGUUAGGACUUUCCUAAGCCUCUGGAAAAGUGCAAAGUACAAUUAACAUUUGAGUCUGUCUGAGUCAUGAAGAAAUGGAGAUUACUGAAAAUAAUUCAUUUUGGUAUCUUCUUACAUCCUGAGAGACUAAUCUUUCCAAGUUCAUCUGAGGCUCCUCUUCUCCAUGACAACCUCAUCCAGGGAUUUCUUCCUGUCCUGGUGUUUUAUGACAUAAUCACAUCCUUCCUGAGAUAAUGAGCACACAAUUGCCUGGAUACCUGAAGGAAUGGAGACAGCGGCAGAAAACACUGCAGAGAGGUGGAAACAUCCGUUAAUAUUUUAAAAUCCCAUUACUGCUACCAACAAUAAUAAUGGAUGCAUAGAAAUAGAUCUGGAUUAGCUGAGCUUGAAACAGUCCAUCUCACACACACACAAAAGAAUUUCAGAUACAGUGAACCCACAUGUUGAAGCUUUCUAGUAUAAUAAAAAUUUCAACUGUUCUGUUGAAUCAUCUGCCUGAUUGGAGGCUACAGAAAAGAUGUCAUCUUAGGAGUGCUUGCUCUGAGUGAGGCUCAUCUUCAAAUCUGAAUGACCACAAGGAGAUUUGAUUAUACAUGUGAACACCUCAGAAGGCACAGCCCACCCAGAAGGCAGACAGGUCAGGCUGCUUUUUCUUCAUUGCUUGGAUUCAAUCCUCCGGGCGGCUCAGGCUCAAACAUAACUUAAGCAUGAUUAAACUUUAGAAGAAGCUGCCAGGAAGACUGUGAAAUCUUCAUGCCCAAGGAUCCCUAAAAUUAGGAGCAACAACCACUUGGCUCAGACGGUUUAUGGAGGCAAAGGUUUGGAUGGGAUUAGAGAUUUCUAAAUGUGAGUUCGUGUCCUCUGCCAGACCACCUUACUUCCACCAUUCCUCAGCAAAUCAAGAAAAACAGGAGAAAAGACAUGCCUUUCCAUAAGUUAAAUCUAUUCUGUUUUAAUUCUAUAUUAUAUCUGCUGUACAACUUCUUUUGUUUGUAACACCAUAUUGUUGCUAGUAACUGGAAAUUAAUUUUCACAUGCCUCAGCUUAGAAAAAUAAAAAGCAGCCCUGCAUCAA